GUCUAUGGCCAUGCCCCCUGAACAAGCCCGAUGUCUGAUCUCAGAAGCUAAGCAGGGUCGGGCCUGGGGUUAGUAAGUACUUGGAUGGGAGACACCUAGGAAGACCAGGUGCUGCUGUAG
rnacentral:rRNA from 1 species